UAAUACGGGGGGAGCAAGCGUUGUUCGGAUUUACUGGGCGUAAAGGGCGCGUAGGCGGUCAGCACAAGUCAGUUGUGAAAUCUCCGAGCUUAACUCGGAAAGGUCAACUGAUACUGUGCGACUAGAGUGCAGAAGGGGCAACUGGAAUUCUCGGUGUAGCGGUGAAAUGCGUAGAUAUCGAGAGGAACACCUGCGGCGAAGGCGGGUUGCUGGGCUGACACUGACGCUGAGGCGCGAAAGCUAGGGGAGCGAACGGGAUUAGAUACCCCGGUAGUCCUAGCCUUAAACGAUGAAUGCUUGGUGUCUGGGGUUAUAAAGUCCCCGGGUGCCGUCGCUAACGCUUUAAGCAUUCCGCCUGGGGAGUACGGUCGCAAGACUG
rnacentral:rRNA from 1 species